rnacentral:rRNA from 1 species
UACAGGGGGGGCAAGCGUUGUUCGGAAUUACUGGGCGUAAAGGGCCAGUAGGCGGCCAACUAAGUCACACGUGAAAUCCCCAGGCUUAACCUGGGAACUGCGUGUGAUACUGGAUGGCUUGAAUUCGGGAGAGGGAUGCAGAAUUCCAGGUGUAGCGGUGAAAUGCGUAGAUAUCUGGAGGAAUACCGGUGGCGAAGGCGGCAUCCUGGACCGACAUUGACGCUGAACGGCGAAAGCUAGGGGGGCAAACGGG